UCAAUGGGUAUGUGUAAAUAAUUAAAAAUGUUCUUCCCUGAGCAGGAGGUCAGCGUACCCUCGGCCCGAUGUUUGUCCGUAUGCUGUCGACGUACCUGGAGAAGAGCCAAAGUGGUUAUUCUCAAGACCAACUCCAGGUAUCGUCGACAAGCGGACUGUCGCCAGACCCCAGCACCCCGCUACCGCACGCCCUGAUCUGCCCUGAUCUGUUUCACCUGUCCUUGUGAUUGUCUCCACCCCCUCCAGUCUUCCCGGUUUUGACUCCUGCCUGACUCUGGACUACUUUCCCGCCUGCCUGAUCAUCCUGCCUGCCCUGACCUUGAUUCUGCCUGCCCUUCGAUAUCUUUUGAACUCUGAACUGGCUUUGACCCUUUUGCCUGUCCACAACCAUUCUCUUGCCUUCCCCUAUUGGAUUAAUAAAUAUUGUAAGACUCUGCCUCCUGUA